AUUGAACGCUGGCGGCAUGCCUUACACAUGCAAGUCGAACGGCAGCACGGGAGCAAUCCUGGUGGCGAGUGGCGAACGGGUGAGUAAAGCAUCGGAACGUGCCCAGUCGUGGGGGAUAACGUAGCGAAAGCUACGCUAAUACCGCAUACGAUCUGUGGAUGAAAGCGGGGGACCGUAAGGCCUCGCGCGAUUGGAGCGGCCGACGUCGGAUUAGGUAGUUGGUGAGGUAAAGGCUCACCAAGCCGACGAUCUGUAGCUGGUCUGAGAGGAGGACCAGCCACACGGGGACUGAGACACGGCCCAGACUCCUACGGGAGGCAGCAGUGGGGAAUUUUGGACAAUGGGCGCAAGCCUGAUCCAGCAAUGCCGCGUGCAGGAUGAAGGCCUUCGGGUUGUAAACUGCUUUUGUACGGAGCGAAACGGCUUCCACUAAUACUGGGGGCUAAUGACGGUACCGUAAGAAUAAGCACCGGCUAACUACGUGCCAGCAGCCGCAGUAA
rnacentral:rRNA from 1 species